UGGGGUGGAAAUUCCAUUUUCCAGAUAGCUCUGCUCUAUAGAGUGUCAAGCCAAGAAUCAGGUUAGGCUAUGCAAUAAAAAUGUUUCUUUAACUUAGCCUGUAAAUUCCCUGACACACAUUCUCUAUAUGUCAUACAAGGCUCAACAUGCUGUCAGCCCUGAAAUAAUAAAUAGCAGUUUUAUACCCGAAGUGUUAUAAUGACUGCAAGUAAAAGCACUUCAGCUUUAUAGGAAGAGAUGGAACUGUUUAUAUAGCACUGACCCAAUGCUGCCAAGUGAUAUGCUACUGAAGGUGCCAUCAUUUGGAUGAGAAAUGUAACCAUGGCCCUGACCACUGGGGGCCAUUAAAAAUCCCAUUAUUCUUCAAGUGAUUGCACAUGUCCACUCCACUGUAGGCAAGUGCACAACCAACCCACAGUUGAAGGAGUGGCUUAGGCACCCUCUGCUGCCACAUGCUGCUGUAUGCAGGUAUAAAUAGUGGAACCAACCCUGAAUCCCACAGUUCCUUCUUGUUGGAGCGAUUACAGCCUUGCUGUUGCAAGUUAUUCCCUCAUUCCUUGUAAAAUGUAUCCAGUUUUUGGUUAGUGUAGUUCAGUGGUUCUCAACGUAUUUACCAUUGUGGGCCACAAAGUGAAGAGGCACAAGAUCUCAUCCAGGGACUUGGUACCUCACCCUGCAAGAUCCCAGGUACAAAAGCUUUCUAAAGGCAAGCUACCUGGGAGGGAUACUGAAAAGAGACACUCCCCAAAACAGGCUUCAGUUAAAAAGGGGUUGUCAGCUCCAGAACCUGAGUAAGAUCCAUUGAGACUGAUCCCUGAACUAUCUACUACAGUUUCUUCACGUUAUCUCCUGGUACCGCAGGGAUGAGUUGUGUUAUCGGUACCAUCAACACUGGAGGCAUACGCAGCAGCUAGAGAACUACUUAACCUUUUGGUGCCAGUUUCUCCAGCAGUGUAGGAAGUCUUUCAACCAAUACUGGUGCCUAAGGACUCUACUCCAGCUGCUCUGAAGCUUGCGGUGCCAAUACCUUCUAUGCUUUCCUGGACUUGGAAGACUGUACCGCUAAGGGGCAAACCAGCUAUGAUUUCUCUGGAACCUCCAUCCCUGGGCUCUAGCUGUCUCUCUCAAUUACAGUCAGCUUCUGCCCAUUAUCAGAAAUCUCAGAUUCUUUGUCCUCUUCAGACUCAGAUACUGGGUUCUCUGUCCUAGCCUAGACAGGAUAUGCAACCUUCAUUGGGAGCUUAUGCCCCAUAGUUCCUGCAGCAGCCUCGGCAGUGCCCACAAGAUGAGGGACAAUGGUCCAGUUAGGGUUGGGUCCCAGGACUGUAUCAAUGGCCUUUUUGGUUGCUGUAGGUUUCCCCCACAACUGCCACGCCUUCUCAGCCACCUCAGUCUGUCUCCUCAGGCACACAUCAAAAGCAUCAGCAUAGAAGGAAACGUCGUCCUGUCAUCAGUAUUGGGGCCUGUGCCAAGCAGGUGGAAGCCACCCCAGCGGCUCCACCAGCAGAGGAAAUACAGCAAGCUCUGCUAUAUCAUCCAGGUGCUUCCUCUUCCUCUUCACCAGAUGAGGCGGUAGAGGCAGUGAGCAACUCUUCUCCUCCAGAUGAUGAUAGAGCUCACCAGGACUUGUUAAAAACAGUAGCCUUGGUCCUGAAUAUCCAAGCUAAGGAGGUCUGUGAGAAAUCCCACAAGCUAGUGGAUAUUUUGGUCUCAGCAGGGCCCACCAGCGUGGCUCUCCCGAUUUAAUGAGGCUAUUACAGAGCUAACAAAUUUCAGAGUAGCAGCCGUGUUAGUCUGUAUCCACAAAAAGAAAAGGAGGACUUCUGGCACCUUAGAGACUAACAAAUUUAUUUGAGCAUAAGCUUUCGUGAGCUACAGCUCACUUCAUCAGAUGCAUGCAUGCAUCCGAAAGCUUAUGCUCAAAUAAAUUUGUUAGUCUCUAAGGUGCUACAAGUACUCCUUUUUUUUUUUUUUUUUUUUUUUUUAGAGCUGAUAAAGGCAUUAUGGGAGAUCCUGUCUCCACCGUCCCACAGCAAAAAGAAUGGAUGGAAGAUACUAUGUCCUGUCUAAGGGAUUUGAGCAUCUGCACACAUCUGCACACACGUGCACACUGGCCUUAAUAGUUGCCAGAGCUAAUCAAUGCAAGAUGCAAGGACACCAGGUAUGAACACCAAAAAGGAAGGACUCUCAGAAAUUGGAUCUUUUUCUUUGGAAACUUAUUCUACAGGGGGUCUGCAGGCUCAGUAUUGCAAAUCACACGCACUCCUAAUUCACAAUUACCUCACUUUAUGGGAUAAUAUAUUGAAGUUCAAGGGUAGGGUAUCAGAUGACUGAAGACAGGAAUUCACUGCAAUGGUGGAGAAGGGCAAGCUAGUGUCCAGAACAACUCUUUAGGCCAGGUUGGAUGCAGAUGACUCAGCAGCUCAUGUCAUGGCUCCUGCCAUAAAAACCUGUUACUUAACCAUUUGUAACUGCUGUUCUUUGAGAUGUGUUGCUCAUGUCCAUUCCAUUCUAGGUGUACACGGGCCCACAUGCCCAGUCAUUGGAGAUUUUUGCCUUAGCGGUAUCCAUAGGGUCAGCAAUGGUGCCCCCUUGAGUGCUGUGCUCAUGCGCUGGUAUAUCAGGAGCCGCUGACCUGACGUCCUUUCAGUUCCUUCUUGCUGGCAACUCUGACAGAGGGGCAGGAGGGCGGGUAAUGGAAUGGAUAUGAGCAACACAUCUCGAAGAACAAGAGGUACAAAAGGUAGGUAACCGCUUUUUCUUCUUCAAGUGCUUGCUCAUGUCAAUUCCUUUCUAGGUAACUCACAAGCAGUGGCAAUGGAGGUGGCUCAGAGUUCACGGUUUUGCAGAUUGCAGCACUGCCGUGCCGAAGCCAGCAUCAUCCUGGGGCAGCGCACAAUGGGAUGUAAACGUGUGGACAGAUGAUCAGGUAGCAGCUCUACAGAUCUCUUGGAUCAGCACCUGAGCCAAGAAGGCCACUGAUGACACCUGUGCUCUAGUCGAGUGCACUUUGGAGGCACACUUGUGAGCUCGUAGCAGUAUCGGAUGCAGGCUGUGAUCCAGGACGAAAUCCUCUGAGCUGACAAUGGGCAACCUUUCAUGUUGUCUGCCACCGCAACGAACAGUUGUGUUGACUUAUGGAAAGGCCGUGUCCUGUCGAUAUAAAAGGCCAGCACCCUCCGGACAUCUAAUACAUGUAACCUGUGCUCCUCUUUGGAACUAUGGGGCUUUGGAAAGAAGACCGACCGAGGUUGUGGCAGGUGCAACACACCAGAUCGAGCCUUCUCUGCACUUGGUUACAGGAUCUGCCCCGAUGAGCCAGUCAUCGAGGUAACCAAGGUGGACCCGUUGGCAUCUGAGGCCACUGGUGAGACUGUCAAGGCUUAGGCGGCAGGGGCAGCCAGAACUGCCAAAUUAUUGGGCCAGCCCCUAUGGAAGGGACUCCCUGAACUUCUGGUUUGUCACCUGAAACUGCAAACUGGCUGUCGAAUAAAUCUUUCUUUCAAA